AUUGUUUCGCGAGUAUGAGGCCUGGCUUCGCGGCCGGCUGAAAUAUUUUUUUCACCCAUGUCUUUUGCGCACUUGUUGUUUCCUGGGCGGGUUCGCCCGCCACCAGGACCAAACCAUAAACCUUUUUUUUAUGCAGUUGCAAUCAGCGUCAGUAAAAACAAUGUAAUUAUUACAACUUUCAACAACGGAUCUCUUGGUUCUGGCAUCGAUGAAGAACGCAGCGAAAUGCGAUACGUAGUGUGAAUUGCAGAAUUCAGUGAAUCAUCGAAUCUUUGAACGCACAUUGCGCCCUUUGGUAUUCCAAAGGGCAUGCCUGUUCGAGCGUCAUUUGUACCUUCAAGCUUUGCUUGGUGUUGGGCGUUUUUUGUCUCCCUCUUUCUGGGAGACUCGCCUUAAAACGAUUGGCAGCCGGCCUACUGGUUUCGGAGCGCAGCACAUAUUUUGCGCUUUGUAUCAGGAGAAAAGGACGGUAAUCCAUCAAGACUCUACAUUUUUAACUUUUGACCUCGGAUCAGGUAGGGAUACCCGCUGAACUUAAGCAUAUCAAAAGCGGGAAGGAA
rnacentral:rRNA from 1 species